CUCUCUCUUUUUUGCCAGUGAUGGCGAUGAUGAUGGUAUCGAUUUUCUCCUACGAUUGAGGCAGACGGCGAAGAUUGAGGGAAGAAUUGAGUGGUCGGAAAUGAGAAUGAUGAUGCAUCUUAUGUAACGAUCGGGAAUGAGAGAGAACACUGCAAAUUAGAGAUCCAAAUUCAAUGGAUGGAGAGUAAUCGAUUCAGCUUGGAUCGUAAUUGGUAAGAGCAUCUACUUAUUUUGUGCGUUAUCAUG
rnacentral:lncRNA from 1 species